UGCAGUCGAGCGGAACGAGUUGUCUGAACCUUCGGGGAACGAUAACGGCGUCGAGCGGCGGACGGGUGAGUAAUGCCUGGGAAAUUGCCCUGAUGUGGGGGAUAACCAUUGGAAACGAUGGCUAAUACCGCAUAAUAGCUUCGGCUCAAAGAGGGGGACCUUCGGGCCUCUCGCGUCAGGAUAUGCCCAGGUGGGAUUAGCUAGUUGGUGAGGUAAGGGCUCACCAAGGCGACGAUCCCUAGCUGGUCUGAGAGGAUGAUCAGCCACACUGGAACUGAGACACGGUCCAGACUCCUACGGGAGGCAGCAGUGGGGAAUAUUGCACAAUGGGCGCAAGCCUGAUGCAGCCAUGCCGCGUGUAUGAAGAAGGCCUUCGGGUUGUAAAGUACUUUCAGCAGUGAGGAAGGUGGUGUACUUAAUACGUGCAUCAUUUGACGUUAGCUGCAGAAGAAGCACCGGCUAACUCCGUGCCAGCAGCCGCGGUAAUACGGAGGGUGCGAGCGUUAAUCGGAAUUACUGGGCGUAAAGCGCAUGCAGGUGGUUUGUUAAGUCAGAUGUGAAAGCCCGGGGCUCAACCUCGGAAUUGCAUUUGAAACUGACAGACUAGAGUACUGUAGAGGGGGGUAGAAUUUCAGGUGUAGCGGUGAAAUGCGUAGAGAUCUGAAGGAAUACCGGUGGCGAAGGCGGCCCCCUGGACAGAUACUGACACUCAGAUGCGAAAGCGUGGGGAGCAAAC
rnacentral:rRNA from 1 species